UACGUAGGGUGCGAGCGUUGUCCGGAAUUAUUGGGCGUAAAGGGCUCGUAGGCGGUUUGUCGCGUCGGGAGUGAAAACACCGGGCUUAACUCGGUGCUUGCUUUCGAUACGGGCAGACUAGAGGCAUGCAGGGGAGAACGGAAUUCCUGGUGUAGCGGUGAAAUGCGCAGAUAUCAGGAGGAACACCGGUGGCGAAGGCGGUUCUCUGGGCAUGUCCUGACGCUGAGACGCGAAAGCGUGGGGAGCAAACAGG
rnacentral:rRNA from 1 species